rnacentral:misc_RNA from 1 species
UUAACUAUUAUAUAGUACUCAGACGACAUUAAUAUUCAGAGUUUGGGGUCCUCUGGCGAGCACACACCAGCAUAAGCCGGUGGCCGAAGCGGCUCGCCAAAGCAACAAAGGUACAAUAACAUAGGGUUGGAGAGUCACCCGUGAGGGCGAUGUUCUCUGUAAUGAUCCUUCCGCAGGUUCACCUACGGAAA